GGCCGCAGAGAAUAGGCCCAAGCGACUGUUUACCAAAAACAUAGGUUUCUGCUAAGUCGCAAGACGAUGUAUAGGAGCUGACGCCUGCCCGGUGCUGGAAGGGUAAGGGGAUCUGUUAGAGCAAUCGAAGCAGUGAACUUAAGCCCCAGUAAACGGCGGCCGUAACUAUAACGGUCCUAAGGUAGCGAAAUUCCUUGUCGGGUAAGUUCCGACCCGCACGAAAGGCGUAACGAUUUGGGCACUGUCUCAACA
rnacentral:rRNA from 1 species